UACGUAGGUGACAAGCGUUGUCCGGAUUUACUGGGCGUAAAGAGCGCGCAGGCGGUCGUUCAAGUCGCGUGUGAAAGCCCCCGGCUCAACUGGGGAGGGUCACGCGAUACUGAUCGACUCGAAGGCAGGAGAGGGUAGUGGAAUUCCCGGUGUAGCGGUGAAAUGCGCAGAUAUCGGGAGGAACACCUAUGGCGAAGGCAGCUCGCUGGGACGUUACUGACGCUGAGACGCGAAAGCGUGGGGAGCAAACAGG
rnacentral:rRNA from 1 species